rnacentral:rRNA from 1 species
ACACCGGCGGCCCGAGUGGUGAUCGUGAUUAUUGGGUCUAAAGGGUCCGUAGCCUGUUUGGUCAGUCCUCCGGGAAAUCUGACAGCUUAACUGUUAGGCUUUCGGAGGAUCCUGCCAGACUUGGAACCGGGAGAGGUAAGAGGUACUACAGGGGUAGGAGUGAAAUCUUGUAAUCCCUGUGGGACCACCUGUGGCGAAGGCGUCUUACCAGAACGGGUUCGACGGUGAGGGACGAAAGCUGGGGGCACGAACCGGAUUAGAUACCCGGGUAGUCCCAGCCGUAAACGAUGCUCGCUAGGUGUCAGGCAUGGCGCGACCGUGUCUGGUGCCGCAGGGAAGCCGUGAAGCGAGCCACCUGGGAAGUACGGCCGCAAGGCUGAA